ACCAAUCUCUCUCUAGCCCUCUCGCCGUGAACAUCUCUCCUACUACCAUCGUCACUUUCACUUUUCUGACGACAACCACCGUAGCAAUAUAGCACCGCUUCCAACAUCAUGCAAAAGGUGCUCAAUGGUAUUCUUUGACCAUCAUCACGCAAAAAGUUUUCCUUGUUCCGUUUCAUUUUGCGUUUUUGUUGUUGGUGAUUGGUCGGAUCAUAAAAACUACCAUAUCAGCUAUUGUUAUCAACAUUUUUUAAUCUAUAAAUUUUGUUGGGUUUUGUUUGUUUAGGUGUUGGUACUGAAUUAGAUUUAGAGAGAAGAGGAAAAAGAGAGAAUUUUAGAUGAUGAUAGAGUUCUUUGAGCUGGUUUGCAAGGGAGUUGUGGUGUUUCGUCACAGAGCCAAUUUCUGCUUCCACGCUUUCUCCUCUCAUCUUGCUUUUCGAUCUCUCAGGCCAGGUGAUCCAAUUGGAUAGAUGGCUUCAAGUUGAAAUUUCAGUGUGAUUUGAGGAGAAAAGAAUUGCAAGAUUACCAUCUCUGAAAAGGUCAAUUUUAAUGUCCUGUUUUUUAGGAAUUUUGUUGAUUUUGUGCAACUUUUGGGAAAUUUUGUUAAAGUUGGAUGUUUGCAGAAGUUCUUUAUGGGCCUGUCAUUGAAGGAUUAAAACAUUUCAAUAGCAAAAUAAGGGUUCCUUUUGCGCCUUGAAUAAGAUAGAGUUUGCGAAAGCUCGUUCCUUUUAUGAAAGAAGGCGGGUUAGUCUCUAUGAGGUUUUCAGGUUAUUUUAUACCCCUUCUCCCUCUGUCCGCAAAUGCAAAAAUACUGUUAUUCUCAAGUUUGCAGUACAAGUGUUCGGUGAAACAUAGGAGUAUCAUCUACGGAAAAGAAUUACUGUAGAAUUCUUCACUAAUUGUUCUAAAGUAAAAUUUUGUGUUCUAACAGGAAACUGUCUCCUCGGUUAAACUAGUAGGAAGUCAUGGUUCCAUUUUGACCAAAGAAGAGAUGAGGCACACUCUUUCUCCCCUUGGAAAGAAAUUAAAUUGUAUCUGAGCAGACAAAUUGAUGGGAAGGAGAUAUCGUUUUCUAAACAGCUUGUCCAUGUGAGCUCUUACUAGCAAGUAGCAUGUUUGUCUUGGCAUUUGGAGUAAAUGGGUUGGCAGGAUGGCUACUUCAAGUUAUUAGUAGUUAUUUAGUCUUAAGAUGAAUGAGUACAGACCGAGAAAGGGUGGCAAUGGGAAGGAAAAGGAUGAGUGCUAUAAGAAAAUCAUCCAUGAGACACAGCAAUAGUAGAUAUGUCCAUUUUCGUGUUGUUCCUUUUCUACUACUCAUCACUACAUGAACAAACAAUGUACGUAUAUUAACUUCUUGACUACCAAUUACACAAUGAGUACACAAAAACGUGUGAAG